rnacentral:rRNA from 1 species
CUGGCGGCAUGCCUACACAUGCAAGUCGAACGAACCCUUCGGGGUUAGUGGCGCACGGGUGCGUAACGCGUGGGGAUCUGCCCUUUGCUUCGGAAUAACAGUUAGAAAUGACUGCUAAUACCGGAUGAUGUCGCAAGACCAAAGAUUUAUCGGCAAAGGAUGAACCCGCGUAGGAUUAGCUAGUUGGUGGGGUAAAGGCCUACCAAGGCGACGAUCCUUAGCUGGUCUGAGAGGAUGAUCAGCCACACUGGGACUGAGACACGGCCCAGACUCCUACGGGAGGCAGCAGUGGGGAAUAUUGGACAAUGGGCGCAAGCCUGAUCCAGCAAUGCCGCGUGAGUGAUGAAGGCCUUCGGGUUGUAAAGCUCUUUUACCAGGGAUGAUAAUGACAGUACCUGGAGAAUAAGCUCCGGCUAACUCCGUGCCAGCAGCCGCGGUAAUACGGAGGGAGCUAGCGUUGUUCGGAAUUACUGGGCGUAAAGCGCACGUAGGCGGCGACUCAAGUCAGAGGUGAAAGCCCGGGGCUCAACCCCGGAACUGCCUUUGAAACUAGGUUGCUAGAGUCUUGGAGAGGUCAGUGGAAUUCCGAGUGUANAGGUGAAAUUCGUAGAUAUNCGGAAGANCACCANUGGCGAANGCGACUGACUGGACANGUAUNGACNCUGANGUGCGAAAGCGUGGGGANCAA